rnacentral:antisense_RNA from 1 species
GAUUGGGUUUAAUGUUGGUGUUGUAAUUAAACGAACAUCACCACCACCAGGCGCCCAUGUGUCAUAUACACCGCCUAAGUACAUUGCUUUUACAACUAAUAAAAAUGAACCAAGACCUAAAAGGCAUAGGUGAAUUCCUAAGAUAGUUGUCAUUUUAUUUUUAUCACGCCA